rnacentral:lncRNA from 1 species
GACAAUGGAUACCUGAGGGUCGAAGGGUCUACCUGAGGGUAGAGGGGCAGGGCUCAGGACGAGGAAGCACGAGAAGCACUACCCUGAGCACCCAUCUGAUCUCGUAUCUAGUCGCUCAUUUACUAACUCAGUCCUCCAUCCCCAUUCCUCACUCAUGCACUCAGCAAAUGCUUACCAGCCGGGCGCAGUGGCUCAUGCCUGGAAUCCCAACCCGGGGGAUAGAGGUUGCAGUGAGCCGAGAUCGUGCCACUACACUCAGCCUGGGCAACAAGAGCGAAACUCCGUCUCAAAAACAAAACAAAACCAAACAAACAAAAACAAAAAAACCCAAGUGCUUACCAAGCACCUUCUAC